UGUAAUUGUAUUCAUUGAACACUGAAGUCAGGAGAAGUCAGACCAUAAUGACAUGGGAGCCAUUUUCGCAACCAGCAGACUAGAAGGGGAGGGUUUGGAAGGGUGGCGGCAGAGCUUAGACACCUGCUGCGAAGGGAGAGAAGUGGGGACAGAAAGAUGGCCUGUGUAGAGUCCCAUGAGAAAGACAGAACUGCACUGGCAGGCAUCUUUAGGGGCCCAGGUCACAAUCAUGGGGCCGGUGGACAGUCUCCAGGGCACUGUGAUUGUCACAGUGCACAGCCUAAUGGGGAAAAUUGCACAGCUUCACUUAAAUAUAGGUGACAUAUGGACGUAAGAAUUCAUGAUUAAUCUAGAACUAACCCUGACCAGCAAGGCCGAAUGAAGAAAAAAUGUAGAAACACUGACCAAACCUUCCUCAAAGGUCACAGAUCUUAGGGAAUGUGUCUCUCUUUCACAUUUCAAAAUAACAACAAUUUUUGAAAUAUGUAUUUUUUAACAUUUAAUUGUUUUAUUUGGGGAUAAUUUUAGACUCAUGGCAUCCACUGUUUUUUUAGUUACCCACAUAUUUGAUUCAGUAAGAUUCCCUGUAUUGAUACAAAAAAAGAAGAGGGACCCUGUUUCCCUUUGACACUGUUACUUUUUCCUGAGCUCAUUGUUUGUUUGUAUUUUGUUUUGUUUUGGUUUGGUUUUUGAGAUGUAGUCUUGCUCUGUCACCCAGGCUAGAGUGCAAUGGCGCGAUCUCAGCUCACUGCAAGCUCCGCCUCCCGGGUUCACUCCAUUCUCCUACCUCAGCCUCCUGAGUAGCUGGGACUACAGGUGCCCGCCACCAUGCCUGGCUAAUUUUUUGUAUUUUUAGUAGAGAUGGGGAUUCACGGUGUUAGCCAUGAUGGUCUUGAUCUCCUGACCUCGUGAUCCACCCGCCUCGGCCUCCCAAAGUGCUGGGAUUACAGGCGUGAGCCACUGCGCUCGGCCUCCUGAGCUCAUUUUAAGAGAGACUUCUGGCCUAGAGGUUUGAAUGAGAAGAAGUUAUACAGCUGGGAUUCUUCCCUUUCUCUGAUAUGAGGACAGGAGUUCUCUCUCAUCUCCGCCAAGAGCAGGAAGCUGGAGUAACUGCCACAAGCUCCAGGAGGGAGUGUCUAGAACAUCCACGUUUUGCAGCAGGAAAACACCCCCUCACGCUGAAGUUUGAUUCCUGAAUCCUGUGUCGCAGUCUAAAUGCUGAGGCAGAAGGGGACAUCCGUGUUCCUGGGGCAUUCCACUUGCAGUCCUGGCUGUAACCCGAGUGAGCCAUCCGUGUAGUUCCUGUUGCUAAGUCUCCCCUGCCACCUCUUCUUCCCAUGGCUGCAGGGCAGGGGGCCAUGCCCUCCUCUUCAUUUCCUGUCCCUGGGUGAGCGUGCCCCCUGCCUUCUCCCAGAUCUCUGCUGUGGCAGCUUCACGUGGGAUUCAGCACUGUGUCUCCUUCCCCUCUGCUCGGCCUGCCCAUACCUGUCCAGCAGAGCUGUAAGACCAGAAGACAGAGCAUUCCCCUUAUCUAUGAAGUCAAAUGCAUGUGUGGAACAUGCCACCCAGCCUGCAGUCUCUCUACUAUAAAAUACUGCUCAUAAGACAAAUGUGUGGCCCAGAUGAUUUCUGAUAAAGUCUAUUAUUUUGAAAUACAUAUGUAUGUCUCUCAGCCACUGAUACACGCAGAAGCUGCACAUGUUGUCAACACCUGCUUUGAGCUCCUUUCCUUCCCACCCUUCCUUUUGGCAAUGCAAGUUUCCAUUCAUUUUCUGCAUUACUGGUCUCCUCUCUUCUCCCCUACUACUAGAUCUUACAAUAAACAUUUGAAAUAGUU
rnacentral:lncRNA from 10 species